AGCUUUGUGCAGUGGCAAUAUCUUAGCCAGUGAUGUUCAUCUGAGGUGUGAGAAUUGCUGAUUGAGAACUAUUUGCUCUCUUUGGUAUCAAAUUUCUCCUGCAUAUGCAGGAGAAGUAGUAGUUCUGUGGUUUUGUGUAUGUCACUUGUUUUCUGACCUGGAUAACC
ensembl:snRNA U4 U4 spliceosomal RNA